CCAGCCUCUUCCAGUACUUCCCCAGUCCCUCAUGAAACUGUCCAUCGAUCGUUGCCAAAAUAUCCAAUCUCUUCCAGUGUUGCCCCAGUUCCUUGAGGAGUUUAACCUCAGGUGGUGCAAUGAGGUGCUCAUGAGAUCAUGUGAAACAAUUGGAGAUCCAAACUGGCAAAAGAUUCAGCAAAUUCACAAGAAACAAAUUGGACCUGGCAGGCGCAUGAGAGGUGUACAGUUUGAUGAUGAUGUUUCCCACAUCGAAGCACAUGGGUCAGCUGGGUGCAGGUGCCUGAUUCUUUGAUUCUGGGUGAUCUGGGAGUGAAUGGUGCUGCUUACCGAUCCUGUCAUACAGCAAGAACGGUGCAGAAUGCCUUGGCCGGAGUCGAUGAACACCGAAUCUACUCGUUUCCUACUGUUUGCGAAAUUGUUGGAUGUUGAAUGAAGAAUUUAUGCAUUCUCUGUGGAUUUGAAAAUUAUGGGACGACGAACAAUAGUUUGUCGUAUUGUAAUAUCGUGGAGUGAUGAACCCUGAUUUGACUAGUUUCCUAUGGUUUGUAAUAAUGUGGAAUGAUGAACGCUGAAUUUAUAUAUUUCUGAAGUUGGUGAUGAUUUGCA